rnacentral:rRNA from 1 species
UACGUAGGGUGCAAGCGUUGUCCGGAAUUAUUGGGCGUAAAGGGCUCGUAGGCGGUCUGUCACGUCGGGAGUGAAAACUCGGGGCUUAACCCCGAGCCUGCUUCCGAUACGGGCAGACUAGAGGUAUGCAGGGGAGAAUGGAAUUCCUGGUGUAGCGGUGAAAUGCGUAGAUAUCGAGAGGAACACCUGCGGCGAAGGCGGGUUGCUGGGCUGACACUGACGCUGAGGCGCGAAAGCUAGGGGAGCGAACGGG